rnacentral:rRNA from 1 species
UACGUAGGGUGCGAGCGUUGUCCGGAAUUAUUGGGCGUAAAGGGCUCGUAGGCGGUUUGUCGCGUCGGGAGUGAAAACCCAGGGCUUAACCCUGGGCUGGCUUCCGAUACGGGCAGACUAGAGGUAUGCAGGGGAGAACGGAAUUCCUGGUGUAGCGGUGAAAUGCGCAGAUAUCAGGAGGAACACCGGUGGCGAAGGCAGGUCUCUGGGCCACUACUGACGCUGAGAAGCGGAAGCAUGGGGAGCGAACAGG